rnacentral:rRNA from 1 species
UACGGAGGGUGCGAGCGUUGUCCGGAAUCACUGGGCGUAAAGGGCGCGUAGGCGGCGCGGAUAGUCGGCGGUGAAAGCCCGGGGCUCAACUCCGGAAUUGCCUUUAAGACUGCAUCGCUAGAAUUGUGGAGAGGUAAGUGGAAUUCCGAGUGUAGAGGUGAAAUUCGUAGAUAUUCGGAAGAACACCAGUGGCGAAGGCGACUUACUGGACACAUAUUGACGCUGAGGUGCGAAAGCGUGGGGAGCAAACAGG